GGCUCAGAUUGAACGCUGGCGGCAGGCCUAACACAUGCAAGUCGAACGGUAACAGGAAGAAGCUUGCUUCUUUGCUGACGAGUGGCGGACGGGUGAGUAAUGUCUGGGAAACUGCCUGAUGGAGGGGGAUAACUACUGGAAACGGUAGCUAAUACCGCAUAACGUCGCAAGACCAAAGAGGGGGACCUUCGGGCCUCUUGCCAUCGGAUGUGCCCAGAUGGGAUUAGCUAGUAGGUGGGGUAACGGCUCACCUAGGCGACGAUCCCUAGCUGGUCUGAGAGGAUGACCAGCCACACUGGAACUGAGACACGGUCCAGACUCCUACGGGAGGCAGCAGUGGGGAAUAUUGCACAAUGGGCGCAAGCCUGAUGCAGCCAUGCCGCGUGUAUGAAGAAGGCCUUCGGGUUGUAAAGUACUUUCAGCGGGGAGGAAGGGAGUAAAGUUAAUACCUUUGCUCAUUGACGUUACCCGCAGAAGAAGCACCGGCUAACUCCGUGCCAGCAGCCGCGGUAAUACGGAGGGUGCAAGCGUUAAUCGGAAUUACUGGGCGUAAAGCGCACGCAGGCGGUUUGUUAAGUCAGAU
rnacentral:rRNA from 1 species